GAUGAAGAACGUAGCGAAAUGCGAUACUUGGUGUGAAUUGCAGAAUCCCGUGAACCAUCGAGUCUUUGAACGCAAGUUGCGCCCGAAGCCACUAGACCGAGGGCACGCCUGCCUGGGCGUCACACGCCGUUGCCCCCCCAUCUACUCCUUCGGGAUUGCGGGGGGGCGGAUGAUGGCCUCCCGUGCGCCUAGCCGCGCGGUUGGCAUAAAUACCAAGUCCUCGGCGACGCACGCCACGACAAUCGGUGGUUGCGAAACCUCGGUUGCCCGUCGUGUGCGUUCGUCGCGCAUCGAGGGCUCGAAAAAAUGCUCGGCUCCGGCUGGGCUUUCAACGCGACCCCAGGUCAGGCGGGGUUACCCGCUGAAUUUAAGCAUAUCAAUAAGCGGAGGA
rnacentral:misc_RNA from 1 species